GAUGAACGCUGGCGGCGUGCUUAACACAUGCAAGUCGAACGAAGCACUUUAUUUGAUUUCCUUCGGGACUGAUUAUUUUGUGACUGAGUGGCGGACGGGUGAGUAACGCGUGGGUAACCUGCCUUGUACAGGGGGAUAACAGUUGGAAACGGCUGCUAAUACCGCAUAAGCGCACAGCAUCGCAUGAUGCAGUGUGAAAAACUCCGGUGGUAUAAGAUGGACCCGCGUUGGAUUAGCUAGUUGGUGAGGUAACGGCCCACCAAGGCGACGAUCCAUAGCCGACCUGAGAGGGUGACCGGCCACAUUGGGACUGAGACACGGCCCAAACUCCUACGGGAGGCAGCAGUGGGGAAUAUUGAACAAUGGGCGAAAGCCUGAUGCAGCGACGCCGCGUGAGCGAAGAAGUAUUUCGGUAUGUAAAGCUCUAUCAGCAGGGAAGAUAAUGACGGUACCUGACUAAGAAGCACCGGCUAAAUACG
rnacentral:rRNA from 1 species